CUUAUUGGGACCGGGUGGUCGUUCCUGAAGCCAUUCCUACAGGAUAAGGAGAAGAAGGUACACUCGAUCGGUGGCACGCAGCGGAUGCGGACGCGGACGGCAAGCGGGCAGUUCGGGGAGAUGCGGGGUGCAAAGUUGGUGCGGGCUUCAUUGCCACGGAGGAGGCGGGCGGCCUCGUCGUAGGCCUUGGCGGCAGCCUCGUCGAUCUCUCGACGAUCCGAGCGAGGCAAUCGCGAGGACAGUUGAUUUGAUCGAACCAGUACGAACAUCAAAGAUAGUUUAGUCUUUUCACAAUCUAGUAAUAGAAAAGGAGGAAAUAAAAUCCUUAAAGAGGCAUAAUAUCAGGUAAAUCAAUGUAUCAAUAUUGUGGGUGUCAAAUUUACGAAGCUAAUCUUUGAAAUGCCAAAUAUGCAAAACUACG
rnacentral:lncRNA from 1 species